CUGUUUUUUAUUGGUCGUCAUGAAAAAAAACGUAAGGGGUAACACUGUCGAUAUUUAUCCAUUAAAGGAUAGGGGGUAACACUGUUGUUUAUCUUUGGUCGUCAUGAAAAAAACCACUAGGGGUAAAGCUGUCGUUUUUUAUUGGUCGUCAUGAAAAAAAAACAUAAGGGGUAACACUGUUGUUUUUUAUUGGUCGUCAUGAAAAAAACAUAAGGGGGGUAACACUGUUUUUUUUUAUUGGUCGUCAUGAAUAAAAACAUAAGGGGAAAUACUGUUGUUUUUUAUUGGUCACUAAGAAAAAAACAUAAGGGGC
ensembl:lncRNA